rnacentral:ncRNA from 1 species
UGAUGCGGAAAGUAAUUCACGAACACGGCGCCGCGCAUUUGGUCGACAAUGUGAAACAAAGGGUUCCAAUCAAACAUCGAAAUGAUGAAUCCCGGCACCAUAUUGGCGACAAACAUCUUGCCUGACGCGACCAUAUUGA